rnacentral:rRNA from 1 species
UACAGAGGUCUCGAGCGUUGUUCGGAUUCAUUGGGCGUAAAGGGCGCGUAGGCGGCGGGGCAAGUCGGGUGUGAAAUCUCAGAGCUCAACUCUGAAACUGCACUCGAUACUGCUUUGCUUGAGGACUGGAGAGGAGAUUGGAAUUCACGGUGUAGCAGUGAAAUGCGUAGAUAUCGUGAGGAAGACCAGUGGCGAAGGCGAAUCUCUGGACAGUUCCUGACGCUGAGGCGCGAAGGCCAGGGGAGCAAACGGG